AGUGAACGCUGGCGGUAGGCCUAACACAUGCAAGCCGAACGGCAGCACAGUAAGAGCUUGCUCUUACGGGUGGCGAGUGGCGGACGGGUGAGGAAUACAUCGGAAUCUACUUUUUCGUGGGGGAUAACGUAGGGAAACUUACGCUAAUACCGCAUACGACCUACGGGUGAAAGCAGGGGAUCUUCGGACCUUGCGCGAUUGAAUGAGCCGAUGUCGGAUUAGCUAGUUGGCGGGGUAAAGGCCCACCAAGGCGACGAUCCGUAGCUGGUCUGAGAGGAUGAUCAGCCACACUGGAACUGAGACACGGUCCAGACUCCUACGGGAGGCAGCAGUGGGGAAUAUUGGACAAUGGGCGCAAGCCUGAUCCAGCCAUACCGCGUGGGUGAAGAAGGCCUUCGGGUUGUAAAGCCCUUUUGUUGGGAAAGAAAAGCAGCAGGUUAAUACCCCGCUGUUCUGACGGUACCAAAAGAAUAAGCACCGGCUAACUUCGUG
rnacentral:rRNA from 1 species